AUCUUCUUCGGAAGAUGAGUGGCGAACGGGUGAGUAAUACAUAGGUAACCUGCCCCUGUGCGGGGGAUAACAGGAGGAAACUCCUGCUAAUACCGCAUAGCCAUGAGCACCGCACGGAGCUCAUGCCAAAUAUCCUUUCGGGGAUAGCGCAGGGAUGGACCUAUGGCGCAUUAGCUUGUUGGCGGGGCAACGGCCCACCAAGGCAACGAUGCGUAGCCGGCCUGAGAGGGCGGACGGCCACAUUGGGACUGAGACACGGCCCAGACUCCUACGGGAGGCAGCAGUAGGGAAUUUUCGGCAAUGGGGGAAACCCUGACCGAGCAACGCCGCGUGAGCGAAGAAGGCCUUCGGGUCGUAAAGCUCUGUUGUAAAGGAAGAACGGCGCAUACAGGAAAUGGUAUGCGAGUGACGGUACUUUACCAGAAAGCCACGGCUAACUACGUGCCAGCAGCCGCGGUAAUACGUAGGUGGCGAGCGUUAUCCGGAAUCAUUGGGCGUAAAGAGGGAGCAGGCGGCCGCAAGGGUCUGUGGUGAAAGACCGAAGCUAAACUUCGGUAAGCCAUGGAAACCGGGCGGCUAGAGUGCGGAAGAGGAUCGUGGAAUUCCAUGUGUAGCGGUGAAAUGCGUAGAUAUAUGGAGGAACACCAGUGGCGAAGGCGACGGUCUGGGCCGCAACUGACGCUCAUUCCCGAAAGCGUGGGGAGCAAAUAGGAUUAGAUACCCUA
rnacentral:rRNA from 1 species